CUGCUGGGGGCGCUGAGGGGGUUAUCGAGGCAGAGAAGAGGAGGCUGCGGGCAGACCUUGUUGUUCUCUACUGCUGCCUGACAGGAGGCUGUGGCGAGGCGGGGUCGGCCUCUUCUCCUGAGUACAGCGAUGGGGUGAGAGGCAAUGGCCUCGAGGUGCACCAGAGGAGGUUCAGGGUACCUGCAGUAGACCCAGCAUGAUUUUGCAGAUCCUGGGUGCUCUCGUGGAUGCUUCAUUUCAUCUGUCUGAAACUUCCACCUGCUCUGUCUCACUUGGAGGUUGGCAUUCAGAAGAAACCCAUAAGACAAAGGAAAAAAGCUCAGCUGGACCCCCCGUACUGAGUCG
ensembl:lncRNA